AUACUCUCAAAAAUCUGUUAGCUAAAAAAUGAUAAUAUAUAAAUGCUGAUAAUUAUUUAAACAGUGAAACAAAUGCAAUUAAUUGAGACACUUUCAUUCAUAAUGAUUAUUUGUUAUCAUGCAGCAGAAUGAAGAUUUAAAUGGAUCUAACAUGCAUUCGUGAGAGUCUACCUCAUUAAACUUUCAGGAAUUUCAAUUAUGAGUGUCAGAUACAAUGCCUAACGAGAAACUAUGAAACUAAAUCGCUAUCUUCUAUGUAUAAUUUAUAAUUGUAUAGCGAAUUGCUCAGUAAUACGAUUAAAUGCUAUAUUCAUAAGUAAAGAAUUGGGCGGAUCGACUACUCCUAAGGCCUCGCUCAUCAAUUAUUUUGAAUUAAUUUAGUCCCACACAUUCAUUCUAAAAGUCUAAGUUAGGAUAAUUGGGAUUAAAUUGAAAGGACGUUACUCUAUUUUCAGUUUUUCUAGAAAAUAAAAAAGAAGAAACAACAGAGAGUGCAUAUGUAUAUGUAUGUUCAAUUCCGAUGAUCCAACAAUGCAUAUGUGCAAUUUUUGAAUAUGUUCAAUAGUUGAUAAUAAUAAUAAUAAUAAUAACAAUAAUGGGAUGAAGGAUAUUGUAUAGUAAACGUAUGAUUUUUUCUAUUAUCAAUGAAUGAAAUUACAAAUAGAAUGAUUGAUGUGUGCAUACGAUCAUUAAAUGUUUGUUAAUAGAAUUUGAUUCUAUAUAAUGACAUACCAGCAAUCCGUAAAAAAGAUUUAUCUGAUUAAAAUUUCAUCCGCCUUUAAAUAUUUAUUAUUCAUUCUUUUUUUUUUCUUCUGAAUAAGAUAAUAUUUUUAAUAAGAUUAUGUAUUUUUUUUCUUUUAGUAAAUGGUCAUUCUAUGUCGAGAAUUUUAUGAGCGAGUCUCUCCCUCUCCAUGAGAGAAUUAUUAAAAGGUAUAUGGCAGUAUGCGAGUCAGUGAAAUUUCAUAAAUCAAUAUUCCUUACUUUUCACUUAAGUCUAUUCAACGUUAACUCUUCUUAUUUUAAUAUUCAUCAUUUUUUUAUACGAACAUUUAAAUCUUCAUUGUAUUUCUUUCAAAUAGCGAACUGAAAAAAGUUAAUGAAUCAUCUACAAAUGAUUAAAAUAAAAUCGAGAAAUACGGCAGUGUACGACGUCUAAUAAUCGCAUUAUAAUUUAAAGAGAGACUCGCUCAGACCGACAACAUCUGUAGAGUUUAAAAUGCCAACAAGAAAAUAUUUCAGUUACUCAUUUAAGUCACUACUUAUUAGAGACAAUCUACUAAAGUUUUAUAGCACUUUUUUUUCCGUUUUUUUUUAAUCAAUAUAUUCUAUCAGUAUUAUCAAUGUAUGUAACAACAUGAACAGAUAAAGAGAUUUCGUUUUUCUUAUGGGAGAAUCUCUUUCUUGUGUUACAUUUUAAAUACUUCCGAAGACACUGUGUCUAUGUAUAUAUUUUUUCGUUUAUAUAUAUCUUUUUUUUAUUUUACUGUUUGUCUGAUUUUUCCUCUACAAAUUGACCUAUAAAUCUGAUAUUGCUUAAAUCGAUCAAAGCCCCUCAGAGGCAACGAUUUUUGAAGCUUUUAAGACUCACUUUUGUAAGAAUUUUUUCUUUUUCUCUCCCUUUUUUAUUGAAAUUAAGUGACAUAGCCUGUUAUCUAUCAAGGAGGAUGCAGAUCGCGAUGAUGGGCUCUAGCACUUAAAAUUGCUUUCAAUUCGGAUUCUAAUUGUUUUUUCGUUCGUUCGCUUACCGAUCGGCCUCCUACUACCGGUUGAGCGGUAAGUCUUGGUGAUGGUAAAUCGGCCAUCAGCUUGCCAGUAUCUCUGUUUUCAUGGCUUCUUGCUCUUCUUAUAGGCUUCUUAAUGGGCAAAGUAUCAUCCUGGAUCUUCUCAUGCGAUGGCCGUUCUAGAGACAAUGUUAUUUCUUGAUUUAAUGUGUAAGUGGAACCACUGGCCACCGCUUCUGAGGACCUGCUGAUAUCUAUUGUUCCUGAACCCCAUUCACGAGAUAACUUUCUCCCUAUGGCCGAAGUUAAUUCGUUAUUCGGCGAUAACAAUGGACUUUUGGAUAUAUGAUAGGUAGAAGAAUGUGGUGGUCUUAAGGUAGCGAAUACUGGAAACGAUUGUCCUCGUUUCGCUGGACUUCUGGCAUAUCUAGGCGUAGGUGCACCUCCUCCAGUCGAUUCACCUUUAAUCGUUGGCGUUGUACUACCGGUGGAAUCGCUUUUUGUCGGAGCUAAAGGUCUUAAUGUUGCACUACCUCCGAAAUGAGAACCUAAACGUGGAGGUGGUGAUCCACCAUCUCCAUGACUCAAACGACGACCCACCGUUUCAAGAGGACUUCUCGCUCUUAAAUUGGUACUACUUAGAGUAAAUUCUCUGGGCUUCAUAGGAGCCUCCAAACUGAUAGGAGACAAUCCUAAUCUAGAACUUGAUAGAUUGGUCGAACUUCUACUCUUCUCUGACCUUUUUGGACUCCGAGGCAUUAAAGGACUUUUGCUUUUGCUUCUUUCUCUUCCCUUUAUAAGUUUCUCUUCUUUCUUGAUGGUGGAUAUCUUUUCCUGCUCUUCUGAUACAGUUUCUAUUUUUUCCUCUUGUUGAACUCUGUAAAAUUAAAAUAUUAUUCUUGUUAAAUUAUAUCUAAAGCAUGAAAUAAUUUCUUAGAUUCUUUAGUUCACCUUCGAAUUUCUUGGAUCAUCUCGAAAAACUGAGCUUUACUUUUGCGUCUUCGACGUUGUUCGUGUUCCUUCUGGAACAUGGAUACCUUGUAGAUAUAUGAAAAAUAUUACAAAUUUACUGAAACAAAAAGUUACUUACUCGUUUGACACUUUUUUGAAAAAGGGAGGCAAUUUGUCCUUGUCGUACCGUGUGAACCAGUUCUCUGGCAGCAUGAUGUGGCGAUACCAGCUCUACGCAAUUGAUGAAUCUGUAUAGUUUCUGUGAGAAGAACAUCACAUUACGGCUGCGCCAUAUAGAAUCCUCCGGUCUGUGUCUCAAUCUGGGCAAUGUAUAUUUGUAAAAUAAGUGUUCCCCAGCUAAAAUAAUUGUACCGAGAACAACACCCAUUCCUAAAAGACAGAAUACGCCAGCUACAGACGCAACACCUAAUGGUCUAGGUUGUCCCCCUUGUUCAUGUUCAAAACCGGUAUCCAUUCCUUCUCUUCCUCGAAUGCAGGGUAAACCACCAUACCUAGAUAAAUAUCCAGUAAUCCAGUACUUGUAUAAUUAGCUAUAACUCUGGAUAUACUUUCUUUCAAAGGAUGGCCCUUGGUAAGAGCAACAGCAUAAGUAUCUUCAUUUAUAGUAUCUCCGAUUUUUUGCAAUCGACAACCAUCAUCUAUCGCUCGAUAGUAAUCUAAAAUAGGAGUGUCUGCUAUAAGUAUAUCUAAACUACCAUUUCUUAAUCUUUCUACACCCUCAGCAACAUUUGAUAAAGAAUAUCUAGCCAUGUGGGACCAUAAUUGUGCGUUUGCUUUCUGUACAUAAUAUUCGGCUGCGGAUGCUCUUGGUGCACCAACCUUCUGUAAUAACAACUGCAACAGAUAUUAAUUUUCAUUAUCAUUCGAGAUAAUAUAUAUUCAAUGUUGUUAUACAAUAAAAAUAUGUUCUUACACUUUUAUCAUGAUAAUUGCUUACUGCAGGAUGGAAAAAAAGGCCCGCGAUAAGGGCAGCUAUGUUGGCUGUAUAAGAGGCUACAAAGAUAACCGAGAAACCACCCCAAAUAUUGAUCAAAAAUUUGUUAGGCCAGGAUUUCGGUGCCUUGAAGGCAACUAAAUGUCCACAAAGGAGACCCCACAUCACCCACAAGGCAGAGGCUAUCGAAAAGUUCUUGCUUCGUUGUCUACCCCAUGGGUUCAGACCGAACGGGCUGAACCACUCGUACAGUGCCACUGCUGUGGCAGUGAAGUUCAACGAUGUAAAAACAGCGAUCCACAAUUCUGGACUGAAUGGAAAUAGAAAAGCAAAUAGCGAUAUUUCUGAUUUGAGUUUUGGCGCAGUAAGAAAGCUGACUCCACUGAAGAAAUAUGGCGUGGUAAAGUCAACUACUUCCGCUCUACGAGCAGACACACUGAGCGGUGCAAAGGCCAGUUGAGCUCGACUAGAAACUAAUUCUCCCAUAAUCCCAUUCCACGUGCUGCCAUUUCUCUUUCCAAACAGACCAUCUUUCACCAAAUAUAAGUCAUAUCGGAAUCCUAAUUCACGAGAUACCAAGGACAUCAGGUCCAUGCUUAAACCGUAACAGCACAUCAGAGUAUUUUCUUGACGACAAAAAACUCCUCUCAAGCAGAGACCUUCCUGUAGAUUUGUAACCAUUGUAAAUGGUGGUGCCAAUGCUGUUACUAUGCGAUACAUUGGCAUGCCAAUUUUUUCGCCUCCUUGUUCUAAAUAUGCUGGCACAAUACCUCCCCCUGGCCAAAUUAUGGUAUCCAAAUGAACUUCUUUUCCACCUUUUACUGUGCCAACUUUGGUCCAUCUAUGGAAAAAAAAUUAAAAUAAUAUUUAUGAAUAUUUAUAUUUAAUUGAAAGAAUGAAUAUUGUUUAAACAUACCUCAAUUGAGUCUUAUUUCCUGGAAAUCUUAUGGCUUGUAAGUUCAACAAAUGAAAUUUAGCUUUGUCCUUAGAAAGUUGACUUACAGAAUUCCUCAACUUCUGAGUUAAAGUCUUUGAAACAGUAUGCCUCAUUUUGCUUGUCAAAAAUUUGGCAUUAUUUUUUGAGAAGCAUUCUGGUAUAAAGUUCUCUUCCAUUUGAGCCUCAUUUAAACGAUUCAAUCUAGGUUUUACUUCUAUAAAUGUUUCGUCCAAUGCCUGAGAAGUUUCCCUGAUCAUUCUGGAUAAUAUAGUAUCACUACCCAUUAAUUUUAUACCAGAUGGCCUUAAUACUAGCAUACCAACUGGCAUAAAAUCUUUGGAAUUCAAUUCCUUGUCCUUUAUUCUAAUAUCUUCAUCAUCAUCAAAAUUAAAAUUUUUAUCUUCUUGUUUAUUCACAGACAUUUCGUUUUGCCACCUAUAUUCUUGUAAUCGAUGUAUAUCAUUCGAUAAAUUGGGCAAGGAAUUUAAAGAUAACUGGUUUUCUGCUACGAGAUUCAUGUUUCGAUUUAUACUCUCUAGGGCUGAAGGAUUUUCAUUCGUUGCUAUCGAUGAUCUUGAGCUAUAUAUAAUAUGAGAGCUGAUAACAUUUGGUUCAUUAGGUCUUAAUUCUGCUUUCAAGUCCAGCCAAAGCCAUAGAAAUCUUCCUGCAAGCAUUUCAUACUUGCCAGCAAUAGCUAAUAUUUUUCGUGCACUAUUCAAGUCAGAACCCAUUACUAUGACUCCUCCACUACCCCCUUGCUCGGCAACUCUUCUCAGUCUAAUUCUCAAAGUUUUAUCAUUUGUCGGAAGAUGUAUAAUGGUUCUAGGUGUUAAAAUUGUUUGAUUUGCAUGUAAUAAAUCAUUGAUUGGAAGCAAAGUAGUAUCUAUAAGAAGAGUGAAUGCAUGCCAGUUUGCUCUGUGCAUCAAAGCAGCAGCAGCUGCUCCCACUUCCUUUGUACUAGACCCUAUACGACUUUCGAAUUGACCAAGAUUUCCCUGUAAAUUACAAUUUUUUUAGUAAUUAUGCUAAAAUUAAUUAUAAUAAAUAAUUGAACUUAUAACAAACCUGUCUAAGAAAAUCUUCAUGAGUGAACGGUAACCACAAUGCUGGAAUAUUUAAUGAAGCUGCAGCAGUUACAAGAAAUUUAGCUGCAGAGCCUCCUCCAAUAAUGAUACUUAAUGCAGUUCUUCCACCUUUAAUUUCAUUGCAAAAUUUGUUCAAUAAUGACAGAGGAUAGGAUAGCGAAUCUGUCUUAGGUGGAGCUUCUAUGAAAGAUACAUUCAUGUCUGCAUGAGAUGAUUCCAGCCUUGCUUUUUCCCAUGCUUUUUGUACAUCCGUUUUUAGCGAACCUUGUGGUUGUGUCAAAGAAAACACUAUACGCCAUGCAGCAUAAGAUGUUCGAAAUCGUCCUUUAAUUGCUCUCACAGAUCUGGCAGGAUCUGUGGAGCAAAAACAAAAAGAAGUUCCCAACAAAAAAAGGAAUAAAAUUCUUCGAAAGAAGCCGAACAUCUUCUUUGCUUAUAUGUGUUUCUCCUCUGCGUUAUUCUUUACUUAGCUCGUCUGGUUUACAUUAUUCAUGUAAGGUUCCAAUCUGUAAUUGUUAAAAUUAGAACAAAAUAAUUUGUUAUUUUCAUAUUUUAAUUAUAUAUAUCAUUUAUGUUUCAUAGACACAUUACAAAUUAAAAUACCUUGUUGACAAUAACAAUUCGAAUAUUUUGCGUUUUUAUUAUAUGAAGAAUAUUUUUCAUGAUUAAAUCUUACUAAUGAAAAAUAACUCUACUCUCAUAAAAAAUAUUUUUUUUAUCAUGUAACGUUUUGCCCGAAAAUGUUUUUCACACACUUGCACUUUUCCGUUUAUAAAUUUUACUUUAUUAAAAACAUAAUCGGAUUUUUUACACAUGAUAGAACAAAGCACAAAGUUGAAUAAAUUUAAUGAUUAAACUUACCAAGUUUAAAUGUUUAGGAAAGGCAAAUAGUGAAGAUAGUUUACCUUUUCCCAAAGCGAAUCAUAUGUCGCAAAUCCGGGGGCGGAUGAAGAAGAGCACGAAGAUUACUUUUUAGCCGCCACAUAAUAGCUAUCGAUUAGGUAACCGUAUCAAUUGUCGUAAAAUAAUGUCAAUUGGUCAAUGUGGAAGACAGGGAUGAACCGUCAGUUGCCCUUUUCUAAACGUCCUACCCCAUAACAGCCAUUUUCGAGCAGCCCCUCCCUUUAAAUUUCACCCCUACGAUACACAUACUAUUUUCUCGCACACAUACAAGUAUGUAUAUCAUAUGCAUUUCUCCUUAGAUUAUAAGAUAUUGAAAAAUAAGAUCGAAUUUUUUUUUAAUUUUUUAAUUUUUUUUCAGAAAAUUAUGAUAUUGUUCUUUUAUUUAAGGAAAAUAAUAAAUCAUUUCUGAAUAAUCUUUAUUAUAAAAUGUUACAAAUUAUGGUUUUUAAAAUUUAAAUUUUUUAAAUAUGAAAGAAAAAUCUUGAUAACAAUAUUGAGUUAAUAUAGGAAAAAUAUUUAUAAUAAUAAUAUAGGAAAAAUAUCGGACGAAAAAUAUUUCUACAUGUUUUUAAAAAUUAUUUUUCAUAAAUUAUAUUUUAUCUUAUACACAUAUAUAUGUUAUGCUGCACUUAACACAAUUUAUUUACAAAAUUUUUUUUAAUAUUAUAAAGAAUGUAUGGAACCAUUCAAAUAUAAUUUCGAUUUGCAAUCGCUAAAUUUUUUCGAAUUGGAUUUUUAUUGAUUUUUUUUUCACUACAGUUAAAAUUAGUCGGAAUAUAAAACAAAGAAGUUUUUUACAUUUAAUAAUCGAAAUAAUAAAUUUAAAAAAAAUAAUGAAUAAUUAAAAUAAAUUUUGUUGCAACGCAUCGUUUUUGAACGUAUUCCAUGCAUUGUUCAGUUCCAUAAAAAUUAAUUUUGCAAUAUUUUCGUUAACUGUUCCUGCUUGCUAGAAAAAAUAAUACAAAAAAUAUUAAAAUCAAAUAUAUAAUCUAUAUUAAUUUUUUAUUUUGUAAUUUUAAAUUUUUUAACAAUACCUUAUCUGGAUGCACAGCUAAACAAGCUUUUCUAUAAGCUUUCUUUACAUCUGCAGUAGUGACUAAUUGAUGCAUUUCGCAUCGUUGCCAUUUAGCUUCUGACCAUAAAACCAUAUGUAACGAAGAAAGAAGAGCUCUCAAAUUACUUCUUUUUCCUUCUGUCCAUUCAACAAUUUUUAAUCUAUCCGGAUCUAUAAUCUUGGCUGCUUCUAUUUUCCUCAUUUGAUUUAUUGUUUUUGGAUUGUCUUUUUCAGUUUUUCGUGAAUUAAAAAAAUUGUAUCCUUGACUAUCUAAUAAAUCUUUGAAAACA